rnacentral:lncRNA from 1 species
CAAUUCUUGUUCCGCACAGAGCCGUCCAAGUCGGUGACACAAUGAAGCGAUACGAGAGGAAUCAUCAUUCUCUUCCGUAGCCAUGAAGGAAAUGGUAAGCAAGAGGAAGAUUAGCGAAGAGGGACUCAGACCAGAACAACAAGUUUCAAGGGUUGCAUGUGAAGGAUCGGCGACAUGCAGAACGAAAAAACGGAGAAUUUGAGUGGAGACGGUUGAAAAGGAAGCAUCCGAAAGCUAAGAUGAUAGAAAGUGAAGCAGAGAGAAGAUGAAGAUGGUCGAAGAGAAGGCAAAGUUGUUUUGUGGGGAAUCUGGAAAAAGAGGAAGUAGGAGAAACUCGAACAUAGCGCGAGAGAGAAACUCGAACAUAGCGCGAGAGAG